AUCAGGAUGACGGCGGCGUCCCUCCACCUCGACUUGGGCAGCAGCGAGAAGGCGUUGGAGUGCGUCAGAAGCUGGUCGCCGAAGGCCCAGUAGGUGGCGGCCGCCGACGGCAGCGUCAGGGUGAACACGUACACCGUGGCCAGCAGGUAGAUGUGCUUGAACUUCUGCGGUUUCCACAUCGCGUGCAUGAUCUCCCUGCAGAGAUGGAGGAGUUACAGAGUAAAUAAAUUGAGGGAUAGCAUGAGCAAUUCAUGUUCCGGUAAUCAGAUCAAAUUCUUCGGUGGUCCUCUGUUUUCCUUCUAAAUUACGUUAUCUAAUUCCAGGUAGUUCCUUUCUCUGGUCGAUCACCACCCGGCAGACUUGAAAGUUCAGAUUCCCACUGCGACGCCUGCCUUCUGCGAUAGAGACUUUUGGACUCCGACUCCGGAGGUAAAGGAUGAUCGAAACUUGCAUCUGACGAGCUCUGCUGCUAAUUACAGCCUCCUAAGGUAAGAGUGAUGAAUCAUCGGAGCAAGAUGGGGCCGAUGGAGGAAAGCGA
rnacentral:lncRNA from 1 species